rnacentral:lncRNA from 1 species
GAGAGAACCAUAUUGAUUCAUGUAAGCUAACUUAUCCAUGCACCCAUUCAUAUUGAUUAAAAAGUUCUUACAUUUGAUUCAGCUGACUGUGAAUGACACCAAACCAGUGUGGCCAGCCAAUUUGGGAAUGAGUACUGACAUGUUCAGCAAUUUCGAAUCUUAGAGUAUAAGCAAAAUGUAGGUCACUUACUUUGGCAUUUGGAAAAUGUGCAUUGGUACAUCUUUGAGUCUUCUGAUCUGUCAAUCUCACCAAAAAGAACAAUAACCCAAAGCAAGAUCAAACCAACCCCCCUAAAAUCUACCCAUACAUUUGCAUGUUUAAACACUGACUAAAGGACGGAUUUAGGGGUAAAUUGUACCAUGGUGCUGUUCAGCUUCACAGGUUGGUUAAUAUUAAGCAAACACAUAUUGCAAACUGUGUCUUAUUACAAGGUUGUUUUCUGAGAUUCCAUGAGUCAGGGUCAAAAAUCUGUCCUUUUCUAGCUGGCAGCAGUACUAAUCGAUAAGUUUAACAAGAGAAAUAAUGGUCUAAUAAACAGUAAUAAUACACUUCCAAGCAAAAAGUGUUGAAACUAAUUUAAUUAUCUAAUCAAUUUUGUGAAUAUCACAUCACUCUUAUAAAAAAUAUCAAUAAAAAUUUAUAAUGCCUAAUACCUAGUAUCUCCUUUAAUCCUCACAGUAACCUUGCAUAUGUUUUUUAUUAGAUCCAGUUUUAAAAGAGAAAACUAGGUUCCAGAAUAUUCCCACUCUGAUUUAAUCUCCUUCUUCAACAGAGGUUUAUGAAGUAGGCACCACAUGAGACAUUGACAUUAGAGGCAAUUCUUUAGAUAUAAUCUUCUCUAUGUUCCAGACACUCCGCUGAAUGCUGUAUAAAUAUUAACUUAGUUAAUCCUCAUAAGAGCAGUGUGAGGUAAGCAUUAUUAUUAUUUCCUUUCUGUAGAUAUGGAAACUGAGGCAAACAGAAAAGUCAAACAAGAAAAGGCAAACAACUCAUCCCAAAGUCAGGAAGUUAAUAAGUGACUGAAAUCGGAUUUAAGUCUAGGCAGACAAACUCCUGAAUCUAUACUGUUUGACUCAUGUGUGGUAAAUAAGACACAGUGUCUGCUUUUGAAGACUUGAAAGUCUAGAAGGACAGAUAUAAACAAAUACAUUUCAGUCUGGUCUGUAGGAGGCAGAAACAGGAAAAAGGAACAAAGGAUUAACUCGACCUUUUUUAAUCUCUCAGCAGAUUGGCAGCAGAGUGGAGGUCAGAUCUGAAUCCUUGAAUUUGGACUCCAGAGGCAUGUGCUCUGCAUUUCAUUGGGUGCCCCAUAUUUGAUAAUGAGUUUGAAAUGACAGGAGAAAACAAUAAUGCAUUUACAGGACCAUCACAUGGGAGCCAGAGGAUAAAAAACUGAGCUUCUUUGAACAGGGAAAAAAAAAAAAAGUACUAUACCUCCUAGUAGAUAAGAAUAAAAACAUAGAUGUCUAGAUCUCUCUUCAUACAUGGAACAUAAUUAUAUGUAAAUAUUGCCAGAAUUCUUGUGUAUGUCAGCUUGACUAUAAAGCUCCCUAAUUACUCUAAGGUUUAUGGUCAGUUGGAAUGAAAUACAACCAGAAAUCAGCAAGCAGAAAGCAAGCCUCAAGGCAUGAAGACCCUGAUAAGCCCUGUUAGGGAGCAUCAUAGAUAUACGCUGAUUGAAUAAGGUUGAUUAAUGGCUGAAGACAGGAAAGGAAAACAAAAAAGGGCUAAAGGCU